UUGUCAUAUAUGGCCUUUAUUAUGUGGAGGUAAUUUUCUUCUGUACCCAUUUGAUUAAGUGUUUUAAUCAUCUAUUUUUAAAAGAGAAAUGAAGAAAAGAAAUUUGGAAUUUUGGGAAGUCAUGAAGACCUUUCAAAAUUAUCAUCACUUGAUAAAAAACAGCUUGGGCAUAGUAAACAAUCAAGUUUAAGGAGCUCAGAAGAUUUUCAAUUAAAUAAUUUCACUAAUCCUCCAAGACAGUAUCAGAAAAUAAUGAAGAGGCUUAUUAAAAGAUAUGUACUAAAAGCCCAGAUCGAUAAGGAGAGCGAUGAAGUGAACGAAGGGGAACUGAAGGAAAUUAAACAGGACAUCUCAAGUCUCCGCUAUGAACUCCUAGAAGAAAAAACUCAGAACUCAGAAGAUCUAGCAGAACUUAUUAGAAAACUUGGGGAGAAAUUAUCAGUGGAAACAAAUAAAGAGGAAAGCAAUAGAUAAUGCAAAGACUACCCUAAAAUCCAUAUUUAUUUGUUCACUUGAAGCCAUAUUAGUUUCUGAUUUAUUUUUUUAAGUACCAGUGUGACCACUUUCUAAAUAAGAAAAUGUUCAAAGAUAACUUGGGUCAUCCUAUCAUCCAGAACCCUAAUAUUAAAUAUUUUUCAUGGAUAAAUUUCACUGUUCAAGCUAAAGAUUGAAGGUUAUGAUGCAAAUUAUGCCCAGUUUUUCGGUGCUUGUUUUAUUAACUGCUUUCUUGGGUAUAACUAUUGUGAUGAUGUGGUUGCCAUGUAGCAUCUGCCUGGAAAUCAUUUCAGCUGGCAGGGGGCAGACAUACCAUUCUAUGGUAUUUUCCCUGAUUGUGAUUUCAGGCACUUUCCUGCCUGCUCUGUGGAUCCCUUGAUGGUGAUUUCCAGACCUAAAAUCUAGAGAAAAAAAAAAUCUAUGGCCAUUUAGAGAAUGUUGUAAUCAUCUACCCCACUUAGCCCUCACAGAAUAUGAUUGAUAAUGUCUGUGCAAAAUGGGUAAAAUUUUUCCUAAAUUUCCUGAUUCAUCUCUUUGAAAAUGUUACAUUUACCAGUGAAAAAGUGCUUCCUGCACACUGAAUCCUGCAGACAUGGUUCAAUUGUGUGUGUUUUUGUGUGUGCACAUGCGCGCACAUGUGAAAUUCUUGCCCUAUUUUCUUUUGCAGCCAAUAUAGACUCUCAAAAGCUCUUUAUGUUAUAAUUUUUAUUGUAAUUGAAAAAUUAUUGACCAAAUAAAAACGCUUUAUUGGAGAAAUAUCAAAGCCACAAAUAGUUGUGGUCAUUUGGCCCAAUUAGAGCAGUUUUGUCCCAUUUCUGAGGGCCUUUACAGGUGAAUUCCCCCCACAUUUGGCAUUCAUUGUAAAGAAAAAAAUGUGUUGAAGGAACUUGCAAAUACUUACCUAUUAUUAUCAGUAUGUUCUACCUUCCUCUCAAAAUAUACAAAACAGGAAAUUGCGUUUGUGAGCAUCCACUAAGAGGUUAUUACUUACUGAUGAUGUGGAGCAACAGCUAAAACAACUGAGACAAAUGAAGGUUUGAAGGUUCAUGUGUUCAGCUACCCAAAGACUAUCAAUACUUAGAUGAUGCUGGCCAUUAACUGAAAGUAUAGCUUUAAAUUCAAUAAAGAGAAGCUUCAAAUGCAAAAUUUUAACUUCAUUUUAAAGCUAAAAUGGUCACAGAAAAUCUGUUUAGCCCGAAAUUUGACUGAAUUUAAAUCAAAGAACUUUGACACAACCAGUAGAAUAUAUUGCUGAAAUUUUAUAUUCUUUGAUAUUGUAUUUGUGGGUAUUAUUUAUUGAGAAGUUAUUUAGUGAUACAGAAAAGGUCUAUUUUCAAAUGUUUUGUGACAGUAUUUGAAUCAGAAGAUGCAAAGAUCAACCUCAACCAAAUGCACCAUUAGCAAAUUAAAAUAAUCUAGUAUCCACGAAGCUUGUGUAUUGUGCCAUGCAAGAGAUUGGCCUACAUGACAAGGAGCACUCUACGAUAGAAAAUGAGCUUGACUCUAGAAGAGUCUAGAAAAGAUACUCUGAGUCCCCAGUGUCUUUUAAGUUGGGCAGACCUGACAAAAGUUUUGGGAAAUGCACCAGUCAUGACUGUGGGUUCCUCAGUAAAAGGCACUGCCAUAAAGUGCCACCUGUUAUUGUUCAAAAGUAAUAUGUCCUGAAGUCAAUAGGUUUUCCUCAAAGGGCAACUGAGUUGGCACCUCUUCUAAUUUCUUUUUGUUUUUUAAGAUUUUUA